rnacentral:rRNA from 1 species
UACGGAAGGGGCAAGCGUUGUUCGGAAUCAUUGGGCGUAAAGGGCGCGUAGGUGGUUCUGUAUGUCUACCGUGAAAGCGUACGGCUCAACCGUAUUUAGUCGGUAGAAACUGCAGGACUUGAGGCUGGGAGGGGCUGGUGGAAUUCCCUGUGUAGCGGUGAAAUGCGUAGAGAUGGGGGAGAACACUCGUGGCGAAGGCGGCCAGCUAGACCAGUUCUGACACUGAGGCGCGAUAGCGUGGGGAGCAAACAGG